rnacentral:lncRNA from 1 species
AUGCUGGAAGGCUGUGGUACAAGACCAUGUUUGCUUGCUCUAAGUGGGGUCUCCAGAACCAAAGGGAGUAUGCAGCUCUUCUUAAAGUUGAAGGCGUUUAUGCUUGAGAUGAAACUGACUUCUAUUUGGGCAAGAGAUAUGCUUAUGUAUAUAAAACAAAGAACAACAUAGUGACUCCUGGUGGCAAACCAAAUAAACUAGAGUAAUCCAUGGAAAGAUAAUUUGGGCCCAUGGAAACAGUAUCGUGGUUUGUGCCAAAAUCCAAAGCAAUCUUCCUGCUAAGGCCACUGGACACAGAAUCUGUGUGAUGCUGUACCCUUCAAGGAUUUAA